UACGGAGGGGGCUAGCGUUGUUCGGAAUUACUGGGCGUAAAGCGCACGUAGGCGGACUGUUAAGUCGGGGAUGAAAUCCUGGGGCUCAACCUCAGAAUUGCCUCCGAUACUGGCAGUCUCGAGUGCGGGAGAGGUGAGUGGAAUUCCCAGUGUAGAGGUGAAAUUCGUAGAUAUUGGGAAGAACACCAGUGGCGAAGGCGGCUCACUGGCCCGUAACUGACGCUGAGGUGCGAAAGCGUGGGGAGCAAACAGG
rnacentral:rRNA from 1 species